AUGGUUUCCAUGGACCUUAUUUUUCCUUUUAGGGGAAAGAGGCACUAAAAGGUGGCACCAAAAGCCAAGGGAAACAGGCCCAAAGCCUUUCAGAUGUUCACGUGGUACAUACUGUCAGAUCCUGUCCUCUAGGUGAUGUCCUUCAAAGCUUUCUGACUGAGUCUCCAAGCUUAGCUGUAAUACAGCAAAGUCGUAACCUGGGAUGCUCAGAUGGGCCUGGCGUCACCACAUAAGCAGUGUCAAAUCCUCACGCUACGCGUAUGUAGGCUUGCCUACCUGUAGAAAUGUCUAACUGUGUUGUGGGUGGGGGUGGGGGUGCUGCAGCCUAUGUUGCGACGGGACUUGGCUGAUGAUACAUGGUACGCGCACAGUGAGUUGAAUGAGGUGCGAUUACCGAUGGAAUGAUUACAAGGAGCAAAGCGAACUGAUGAGUUGUGCUCGUGUAAUAAACUUCACACUAUAAAAACGUUCGUCGUCUUGUACCUGGUUUGUGCCUUGGUGGCCGAAAGGCCGACUUCUUCGCCUGGUUUGCCUGGGAUGUAUUCGGGUAAUCCUGGGAUGCGUUCACAAAAGCCUGAGCCUUGUUGUCCGAAAAGACAAACACGGCAAAACAAGCAACAUAAACCUUUGCGUCCGGUAGCGUCUUCCAAACUUCUCCACCACGUGACCUGCAGGAUACACAGCGGAGGUUCUGACCAGCUAUAGCCGAACGUUUGGGUGUACUACUUAUGAAGCAACCACACCCAAUUGUGCAACCUCCUCCCUCCGUUUCCAAAGCGCCCACCAAGCGGCCCAUGACGCUAAUGCAACCAUUGACAACAUGUAGCUGUAGAGGCCAGCCGUUGAGGACCGUUGAAAGUACCAGCACCGUUUGCGGGGCAAGCAACUUAACCUAAUGUACCCGAAAGCCCAGUUUCAACAUGUGCAUGUAAAAGCUAAUAGCGAUCCUGAGUCUUUCCUCGAGUGCAGAUAGGCACUCAAGAGGCACAACACUGCAAAAGCUUCACUACCCAUUUUUCCACCCUUUUAAUGCAUAAGGGCUUUUAAUAUCGGUCACACUCGGACAUUCCGUCCGGAACUCUCAGUACACAAAUUUACUACCCGAGAGCUCUCACCCCUUGCUGACUGUCAACCAUAUCGCUGUUGGGCCACACUUGUGCAGGCCCCGCAUAUUCAGAACGUAAAACAACUUUGGUAACCUAGGGCAACGUUUAUCCCUGAUCAAAUCCAGUCAAGAAGACACCGAAUGUACGACCGAUGUAACCCUUGUACUAUUGUACGACAAGGUAAAAGGAAAGUCUAUAUACGCACAAACACAGAUCGGUUUUGUAGUAGAAGACGAAAAACAGUCUAUUUUCGCCUGCUACGCAAACCGGCCAGUGCCAUUUCCUUGUCAAUGUCCUUCCACGGAACUCCCGCUGAGUACCUUGGAGGUCAUAUCAAUGAGGAGGCUCGCUUGAGACAGCUUCGCUUGCAGUAUGGCCAUGUCAACAUGUACCCUAAAGUAAUAUCAGUAUUGAAGUAAACGCACCUAUGUAAAUGGCAAACGCAGGCGUAGAAUCUGUUUUUGACUUUCCGCCGUACUGCAAACGCGGAAAUGCGGAUUCUCUUUCCGCACUUUCGUCAUUCUAGGCUCUCUGCGGAAAGUGGGAAGAAACCUAUUUCCACAGGUUUCCGUUUCCGCACGUUUCGGUAUCGGCUAGAUCCCUGGUGUAAAGUGGGCCCAAUGGAAAGUGAAAUUCAUAUAUUUCUAUAGUCAACUUGUAAAACUUCUUAGCCGCUGGCCAAUGGAAAGACCCCAUUAGAGCGUUGCCAUGGGUUUGCCGAGCAUGAAGGAAGCAAUCCAUAUCGGGUGCCGGCGGACCGGGCGCCGUACACGCUCGUCCAGCUGGGCGACCUAAAGCGGACGCGCGCGGUUUGACCUGGCAACUCACAAAUUUUGGUUGGCUCGCUCGACAUUUCAUCAGAGGACCUUCGUAUGAACCUUUUUCGGAUCGCUCGAGCGUCUCAGGACGCACUUUGUGGAAUUAACUUUGCGCGAGCAGCCACUCUGUAUGGCCAUGUAGCAAUGCACUUUCCAUUCCUCGUAAAAAAAGCGUCCAUAUAAUAAUAGGACAAGGGGCUCCGCUCGUCAAAGUAGACUUUGUUGUGGUGGCAUUAGCCGAACCAAAACGAACUCCUGAAAAGCUUUACGAAAUUCAUCAAGAAUACGGUGAACAAAAAGUUAAGAACAAGUGGAACCAUCCGGAACCGAACGCAAUCGAGCAAUGCAGCGGUCACUCAUGAAAACACAAAGAGAUGUAACGGAGGCUCACUACAGGAACCAGGAUUCCAAGACAACGAGGUCUGGCAGGUCAAGUCGUGUCGCAUCACUUCUGGGUCUGCCCCGUGGCCCUCGGCACGGUGGGCCAAGUUGAAUUGCAGAUGGUGGCUCGGGUGAGCCGAGCAAAGCUCUGGCUGAUGCAAGCGCCACNN
rnacentral:lncRNA from 1 species